AAACUCCUUCUCCUAUCCCAACCAAGAUCCUUGAAAAGAUGAGUGCAGGCAUAAACCCUGCAAGAUAGGGAACUAACAUUGUUGCCAGAGACCAGACUAGUACUCCAACUUCAAGAACUCGACUCCCACCAAAUAUCUUCGAAAGCCACCCGCCUGGCAAUUGACUUAAUGCAUAACCCCAAAAGAAAGAUGACUGGACCAAUCCCGCUACUGAUGAAUUCCAUCCGAAUUGAUGCGACAUUGGAAUGAUGGCAACACUCAAAUUGACCUUAUCCAUGUUACAUAUAACAAAGGCAAGAGAAGUAGUUCCAAUAAGCUUAUAUCUCUGAGGUAAAUUCUUCCAUGGAGGCCAACCCCAUUCAAAACCAACUUCUUUAUCCUCAUUUCCAGCUUCACCCAACUCAUCCUCAGAAGUUGAUAUCAAUCCCCCAUUCUUCCCCACCUCACCAUUCAACUUCAACCCUUUAACUAUUCUCUGCUUUUCUGCAGCUUCUUCUUUUUGCCUCUCUGUG
rnacentral:misc_RNA from 1 species